AGAGUUUGAUCAUGGCUCAGAACGUACGCUGGCGGCACGCCUAACACAUGCAAGUCGAACGAAGUAGCAAUACUUAGUGGCAGACGGGUGAGUAACAUGUAGGUAUCUGCCCUUUGGCCUGGAAUAACACGAGGAAACUUGUGCUAAUACCGGAUAAGUCUUUACGGAGAAAGCUUUAUGCACCAUUGGAUGAGCCUGCACUUGAUUAGUUUGUUGGUGGGGUAAUGGCCUACCAAGACUGUGAUCAAUAGCUGAUUUGAGAGGAUGAUCAGCCACAUUGGGACUGAGACACGGCCCAAACUCCUACGGGAGGCAGCAGUGGGGAAUCUUGCACAAUGGAGGAAACUCUGAUGCAGCGAUGCCGCGUGAGUGAAGAAGGCCCUUGGGUUGUAAAGCUCUUUCGUCGGGGAAGAAAAUGACUGUACCCGAAUAAGAAGGUCCGGCUAACUUCGUGCCAGCAGCCGCGGUAAUACGAAGGGACCUAGCGUAGUUCGGAAUUACUGGGCUUAAAGAGUUCGUAGGUGGUUGAAAAAGUUAGUGGUGAAAUCCCAGAGCUUAACUCUGGAACUGCCAUUAAAACUUUUCAGCUAGAGUAUGAUAGAGGAAAGCAGAAUUUCUAGUGUAGAGGUGAAAUUCGUAGAUAUUAGAAAGAAUACCAAUUGCGAAGGCAGCUUUCUGGAUCAUUACUGACACUGAGGAACGAAAGCAUGGGUAGCGAAGAGGAUUAGAUACCCUCGUAGUCCAUGCCGUAAACGAUGUGUGUUAGACGUUGGAAAUUUAUUUUCAGUGUCGCAGGGAAACCGAUAAACACACCGCCUGGGGAGUACGACCGCAAGGUUAAAACUCAAAUGAAUUGACGGGGACCCGCACA
rnacentral:rRNA from 1 species